AGAGUUUGAUCAUGGCUCAGAACGAACGCUGGCGGCGUUAACACAUGCAAGUCGAGUGCGCGCCUGUAGCAAUACAGGUGGCGCACGGGACGGGUGCGUAACACGUGGAUAAUCUGCCCUCUGAUGGGGAAUAACUCGCCGAAAGGGANNUAAUUCCGCAUAAUAUUCCGAGAACUUCGGUUUUUGGACUGAAAGGCGUAAGUCGUCGGAGGAGGAGUCCGCGCACGAUUAGCUAGUUGGUAGGGUAAUGGCCUACCAAGGCUUUGAUCGUUAGCUGGUCUGAGAGGAUGGCCAGCCACACUGGAACUGAGACACGGUCCAGACUCCUACGGGAGGCAGCAGUGGGGAAUCUUGCACAAUGGGCGAAAGCCUGAUGCAGCGACGCCGCGUGGGGGAUGAAGCAUUUCGGUGUGUAAACCCCUUUCGAUCCGGACGAAAACCUCGCAAGAGGAUUGACGGUACGGAUAUAAGAAGCCCCGGCUAACUACGUGCCAGCAGCCGCGGUAAGACGUAGGGGGCCAGCGUUGUUCGGAAUUACUGGGUGUAAAAGGGUUCGUAGGCGGUGCGGCAAGUUGGGAGUGAAAUCUCUGGGCUCAACCCAGAGGCUGCUUCCAAAACUGCUGUGCUUGAGUGUGAGAGAGGCUCGUGGAAUUGCAGGUGUAGCGGUGAAAUGCGUAGAUAUCUGCAGGAACACCCGUGGCGAAAGCGGCGAGCUGGAUCACUACUGACGCUGAGGAACGAAAGCUAGGGGAGCAAACAGGAUUAGAUACCCUAGUAGUCC
rnacentral:rRNA from 1 species